GCGGGAGUGGUGAAAUUGGCAGACACGCAGGAUUUAGGUUCCUGUGCCUUCGGGCGUGAGAGUUCAAGUCUCUCCUUCCGCA
rnacentral:tRNA from 1 species